rnacentral:rRNA from 1 species
UAGAUACCCUGGUAGUCCACGCCGUAAACGUUGGGCACUAGGUGUGGGAUCCAUUCCACGGGUUCCGUGCCGUAGCUAACGCAUUAAGUGCCCCGCCUGGGGAGUACGGCCGCAAGGCUAAAACUCAAAGGAAUUGACGGGGGCCCGCACAAGCGGCGGAGCAUGCGGAUUAAUUCGAUGCAACGCGAAGAACCUUACCAAGCUUGACAUAUACAGGAAUCAUGCAGAGAUGUGUGCGCCCUUUUGGGUC